AUUGAACGCUGGCGGAAUGCUUUACACAUGCAAGUCGAACGGCAGCACGGACUUCGGUCUGGUGGCGAGUGGCGAACGGGUGAGUAAUGUAUCGGAACGUGCCCAGUCGUGGGGGAUAACGUAGUGAAAAUUACGCUAAUACCGCAUACGAUCUAUGGAUGAAAGCGGGGGAUCGCAAGACCUCGCGCGAUUGGAGCGGCCGAUAUCAGAUUAGGUAGUUGGUGGGGUAAAGGCCCACCAAGCCAACGAUCUGUAGCUGGUCUGAGAGGACGACCAGCCACACUGGAACUGAGACCAGGUCCAGACUCCUGCGGGAGGAAGCAGUGGGGAAUUUUGGACAAUGGGCGAAAGCCUGAUCCAGCCAUUCCGCGUGCAGGAUGAAGGCCCUCGGGUUGUAAACUGCUUUUGUACAGAACGAAAAGGUUUCUACUAAUACUAGGAGCUCAUGACGGUACUGUAAGAAUAAGCACCGGCUAACUACGUGCCAGCAGCCGCCGUAA
rnacentral:rRNA from 1 species